rnacentral:rRNA from 1 species
UACGUAGGGCGCAAGCGUUAUCCGGAAUUAUUGGGCGUAAAGAGCUCAUAGGCGGUUUGUCGCGUCUGCCGUGAAAGUCCGGGCUCAACUCCGGAUCUGCGGUGGGUACGGGCAGACUAGAGUGAUGUAGGGGAGACUGGAAUUCCUGGUGUAGCGGUGAAAUGCGCAGAUAUCAGGAGGAACACCGAUGGCGAAGGCAGGUCUCUGGGCAUUAACUGACGCUGAGGAGCGAAAGCAUGGGGAGCGAACAGG